AACAUCGCGCACCUGCGGGAACCUGCGGAAGGAUCAUUACAGAGUUGCAAAACUCCCUAAACCAUUGUGAACGUUACCUAAACCGUUGCUUCGGCGGGCGGCCCGGGUCCUUCCCGGCGCCCAUCGGCCCUCGCGGGCGCCCGCCGGAGGUAAACCAAACUAUUGCAUUGUAUGGCCUCUCUGAGUCUUCUGUACUGAAUAAGUCAAAACUUUUAUCAACGGAUCUCAGAUCGGAAGAGC
rnacentral:misc_RNA from 1 species